UGCCUAACACAUGCAAGUCGUACGAGAGUUUUUAACUCUAGUGGCGGACGGGUGAGUAACACGUGAGAAUUUGCCUUUAGGAGGGGGAUAACAAUUGGAAACGAAUGCUAAUACCCCAUAUGCUUUCGAGUGAAAUGGAUUUAUAUUUAUCCGCCUAGAGAGAAGCUCGCGGCUGAUUAGCUUGUUGGUAAGGUAAGAGCUUACCAAGGCGACGAUCAGUAUCUGGUUUGAGAGGACGAUCAGACACACUGGAACUGAGACACGGUCCAGACUCCUACGGGAGGCAGCAGUGGGGAAUUUUCCGCAAUGGGCGAAAGCCUGACGGAGCAAUACCGCGUGAGGGAAGACUGCCUAUGGGUUGUAAACCUCUUUUUUCAGGGAGGAAUAAAAUGACGUGUACCUGAAGAAUAAGCAUCGGCUAACUCCGUGCCAGCAGCCGCGGUAAGACGGAGGAUGCAAGUGUUAUCCGGAAUCACUGGGCGUAAAGCGUCUGUAGGUGGUUUGAUAAGUCAACUGUUAAAUCUUGAGGCUCAACUUCAAAAUCGCAGUCGAAACUAUUAGACUA
rnacentral:rRNA from 1 species